AUUGAACGCUGGCGGCAUGCCUUACACAUGCAAGUCGAGCGGCAGCGCGGGGGCAACCCUGGCGGCGAGCGGCGAACGGGUGAGUAAUGCAUCGGAACGUGUCCUUUUGUGGGGGAUAACCAGUCGAAAGACUGGCUAAUACCGCAUGAGCUCGAAAGAGGAAAGCAGGGGACCGCAAGGCCUUGCGCGAGAGGAGCGGCCGAUGCCCGAUUAGCUAGUUGGGAGGUAACGGCUCACCAAGGCGACGAUCGGUAGCUGGUUUGAGAGAACGACCAGCCACACUGGGACUGAGACACGGCCCAGACUCCUACGGGAGGCAGCAGUGGGGAAUUUUCCGCAAUGGGCGAAAGCCUGACGGAGUGACGCCGCGUGUGGGACGAAGGCCUCGGUCGUAACC
rnacentral:rRNA from 1 species